rnacentral:tRNA from 1 species
GGGUAGAAUGGCUGAGUGUUAGGCGGCAGGCUGUAAUCCUGCUUACACGGGUUAAGUCCUGUUUCUCC